rnacentral:rRNA from 1 species
GAUGAACGCUGGCGGCGUGCCUAACACAUCCCUGUCGAGCGAUCUUCUUCGGAAGAGAGCGGCGGACGGGUGCCUAACGCGUGGGUAACCUGCCCUGUACACACGGAUAACAUACCGAAAGGUAUGCUAAUACGAGAUAAUAUGUUUUUGUCGCAUGGUAGAAGUAUCAAAGCUUUUGCGGUACAGGAUGGACCCGCGUCUGAUUAGCUAGUUGGUAAGGUAACGGCUUACCAAGGCGACGAUCAGUAGCCGACCUGAGAGGGUGAUCGGCCACAUUGGAACUGAGACACGGUCCAAACUCCUACGGGAGGCAGCAGUGGGGAAUAUUGCACAAUGGGCGAAAGCCUGAUGCAGCAACGCCGCGUGAGCGAUGAAGGCCUUCGGGUCGUAAAGCUCUGUCCUCAAGGAAGAUAAUGACGGUACUUGAGGAGGAAGCCCCGGCUAACUACGUGCCUGCAGCCGCGGUAAUACGUAGGGGGCUAGCGUUAUCCGGAAUUACUGGGCGUAAAGGGUGCGUAGGUGGUUUCUUAAGUCAGAGGUGAAAGGCUACGGCUCAACCGUAGUAAGCCUUUGAAACUGGGAAACUUGAGUGCAGGAGAGGAGAGUGGAAUUCCUAGUGUAGCGGUGAAAUGCGU